UUUUUUUUAAUAUUUCAUUAAAUUAUAUGCAAAAAACUUCAGAUACCGAUCUAGAUUUAUCGAAUAUUUAUUUUAGUACCCUUUAAUUUUAACUUUGUCACUAAUUUAAGAAAAAAUAAUAAUAAAACUGAUACUAAAAAGAGAAAAACGAAACCACAGGGAGGCAAAUUGAUCCACUUUAAACCAUAGGGUACAAAAGUGAGAAACUGUGAAACCGCUAAGGAUUUUUUGAAGUUUUUCCUUAAAUUUUUUUUGGAAUAUAGAGAUUGCAAUGCUCUUGUGCAUGUUAUUUUCAUCAAUCAAGUAAGAAUUAAUGAUGGCAUUGGAGAAAUAAUGUACUUCCAAUCUUUGAUAUGUGUGUCAAAUCUAUAUUGAAUGGUGAUUGAUUGUUUGAUUGAAAUGAUGAUGUGGAGUGGGCCAUAUUAAUUCUAAUUAUAAUAUAAGUUAGAGUUAAUUACAUACAGAUUCCUACAAAUAUAAUGAAUUACAAAUAUAUCCUUACAAAUUUUAUUUUUCAUAUAUUGCCUAUACAAAAGUUCUGAUACUUUCAAAUAUGUUCCUAUAUUAGAAUCUGUUAGAAAAUUUUAGUUAAUCAUAGGUUAAUACUUAAUCAUGAUUAGUUAAUGAGAUAAAUUUACCUUUUUAUCCCUUUUCAAUUAAGGGUCGGGAUUUUUGGAGGGACAUAUUUGUGAUGGCAAAAAGAUUAUUUCACUUAUAAAAUAAACAGUAUUUUAACGAUAACAAACUAGAGGAACAUAUUUGAAAAUAUUAGGACUUUUGUAACGAUAAUCAAUAAAAGUUGAACUUAGUAGGAAUAUAUUUGCAAAUCACAAUAUUUGUAGAAAUCUGUAUGAAAUUAACCCUAAAAGUAUAUAAGUUAAUACUACAGUUCUAUAAUAAUUACUUUUAUAGUAACAGGUUCAUGAACCUUAAUUUCGUAGAAUAAUGGGCUAAGAGCGUGUUUGUUUAGAUUGAAGUCUGAUGCGGAAGUCGUGAGUUCAUAUAACUCGAGAUCGUCAGUGUCCGGAGGUAACGUCGACUUUCGAUUCUCAUGCAGCGCAGAGUUCAAGUCACUACAACAAAAUUAGGUUAUAGGGACACAUGUUUAGGAUAUGUUUAUAUAAGUAUCCAAUUUAUGCCAAAACUUAAAAAAAAAUCUACUAAUGUCUAAAUAUAAAGUCCAAUCCAACCAAAAAUAAAAGGUUACUCUACUCAACCCACCCCACCCAGCCCAUUCGGUCCGAUUACAAACAGAAAAGAAAAAGUAAAGAAAAAUUGAUUACCACUUCCCCUUCUUCCCUCACUCAAUCGACUGAAAUUCUAGACGAAGAUCCCUUCCUCUCGUCCUCCUCCGCCACCGCAGCCAACGAGAUAGAGUUCCGGCGGCUGCUAAAUACUUAAAUACAUAUUGAUAAAUUAGCAGCACUUUUUUAGGUUAUAGCGACACUCUUUAACUGUCGCUAUAUAUCUAGCGACCCCACAUAAGCAACACUUUUUAAAAGUGUCGGUAAUUUAGCCAGCAGUACUUUUUUUGACCUGUACCGGCAUUUAAAAGUGUCGUUAUAGACCAUUUUUGUUGUAGAUGUAUGGUGCGAACUCGUUACUCUGCGCUCGU
rnacentral:lncRNA from 1 species